UACGUAGGGUGCAAGCGUUGUCCGGAUUUAUUGGGCGUAAAGAGCGUGUAGGCGGCCAAGCAGGUCAGCUGUGAAAACUCGAGGCUCAACCUCGAGACGUCGGUUGAAACCGCUUGGCUAGAGUCCGGAAGAGGAGAGUGGAAUUCCCGGUGUAGCGGUGAAAUGCGCAGAUAUCGGGAAGAACACCAGUGGCGAAGGCGGCUCUCUGGGACGGUACUGACGCUGAGACGCGAAAGCGUGGGGAGCGAACCGG
rnacentral:rRNA from 1 species